CUACGGGUGGCACCAGUGGGGAAUAUUGGUCAAUGGGCGAAAGCCUGAACCAGCAAUGCCGCGUGAGUGAUGAAGGCCUUCGGGUUGUAAAGCUCUGUCAGUGGGAACGAAUAAGUCGAUUAAUAACCGAUGAUGACGGUACCCACAAAGGAAGCACCGGCUAACUCUGUGCCAGCAGCCGCGGUAAUACAGAGGGUGCAAGCGUUGUUCGGAAUUACUGGGCGUAAAGCGCGUGUAGGCGGUCUGAUAAGUCGGUCGUGAAAUCCCUUGGCUUAACCAAGGAACUGCGAUCGAAACUGCCGGACUAGAGUAUCGGAGGGGGUGGCGGAAUUCCCGGUGUAGAGGUGAAAUUCGUAGAUAUCGGGAGGAACACCUGUGGCGAAGGCGGCCACCUGGAAGAUUACUGACGCUGAGACGCGAAAGCGUGGGGAGCAAACAGGAUUAGAUACCCGUGUAGUC
rnacentral:rRNA from 1 species